AUGCCUGGAUUACUGCAAUCAGCACGUUCUUAGCACUUUCUUCUUUGGCUCCCCACCGCGCGCAGGUUGGCGUACGCUGAACUGGACCCUCGCAGCAAGAAUGGCACGUGGGAGUAAGUUUUAUUUGUGACGCGAUUUGGUUUAUCUUCCGCAGAAACUGUUAAGCUCACAAUGCUGAUAUGUUGUUGUUGUCGGCCACGUGUGUAGAUUGACACCGCGAUCGUGGAACACAUGGCUGAUCAGCCUCGAAUAACUGCAAGCCGGCGCGUGCGUAGUGCCGUGGAGAACGAUCAGAAGUCCUGGACGACAAAGAAAAAAACUUCAAAGGUUUGUUGUACAUGUUUUCCACGGCAACUGACAUAAACGUAAAAAAAAUUGGAAUGGUCAAAUGCAUGUGUCAAGUUUAACCAUUUGUAGUGGGCUGUGGACAUGAAUUAAGCAUUGCUGCACACAAGACUGGCUUGCCCUCAGUUUAUGCCCAGUACCAAAUUUUUUGCUCUCAUUAUGACACCAUUUGUAAGAAAAGCCAGAACUUAUGUUCAAAACAGCGCAUAUUCUUGCUAUUCUUUUAUUCAGUUGCACGUGUGAGUCCUGCUGCUGGCCAUCAGUUAGCCGGUUAUCAGAAGAAAAGGGCACAGCCCAGUUUUGUGCUGGUAUAUGCCGUAUCGUUUGUGAUUAUGAUCAUGAUUUUUGUCUUACUGAAACAAGAAACUGAAAAAUGUAUGUUGGUGUUCCUGCUACAUCUCUAUGAAGCAGCAGAACCUGUUGCUCAGUCACUUGGUGCAUAUUAGCAACUGGCACCUUGUCUGGCUUCCCGAUACCUCCGCCUUUUUUCAGUGCAUGUUGUUUUCAUCCUUUACCAGCAGUCAAGUAGUUUCACACAACCGAAAUGACCAACUAGCCCACUCUGUUUGUCAAGUAGGUUUUACUUCCAAACAAAUGUAGCACAUUUGUGAUAUGCACUGUUGCUCAAUGAUAUUCUUUUUGCAUGUGCUAGCUGUGUACACAUAUUACAUGAUCUUUUUUCUUUUUUUUCAGCUGCUUCUAGUAGUGGUGCUCCUGGUGUGCACCUUUACCCCAAAUGUCUGCACCUUUGCCUACCGCUGCCUCUGCGAACCCCGCUCCUGGACAACAGCUGGGAGGCUCUGUGUUUAAACGCGUGCACCUUGGACAUCAUGCUCCUGCCUCUGCAAGCCCUUUUGCUGGACGCCAUGGAAGGCCCUCC